UAUGGGGCCUCAGUGGGUCCCUAUUGGUCCCUAUGGGGUCUCUAGGGGUCUUCAUGGGUCCCUAUGGGGUCCCUAUGGUGUCCCUAUGGGGUCUCUAUGGGGUCUCUCUAUGGGUUUCCAUGGGUCGCUAUGGGUCUCUAUGUGGUGGUGUGGGUCCCUAUGGGGCAGUGAGGGUUUCUGUGGGUCUCUAUGGGGCACUGUGGGUCCCUAUGGGGUCUCUGGGGGGCCUCUAUGGGGUCUUAUGGGGUCUCUAUGGGUCCCUAUGGGUCUCUGUGAGGCCUCUAUGGGGUCUUAUGGGGUCCCUAUGCGGUCCCUAUGGGGUCCCUAUGGGGUCUGUAUGUGUCCCUAUGGUCCCUAUGGGGCCUCAGUGGGUCCCUAUUGGUCCCUAUGGGGUCUCUAGGGGUCUUCAUGGGUCCCUNNNNNNNNNNNNNNNNNNNNNNNNNNNNNNNNNNNNNNNNNNNNNNNNNNNNNNNNNNNNNNNNNNNNNNNNNNNNNNNNNNNNNNNNNNAUGGGGCAGUGAGGGUUCCUGUGCGUCUCUAUGGGGCACUGUGGGUCCCUAUGGGGCAGUGAGGGUUCCUGUGCGUCUCUAUGGGGCACUGUGGGUCACUGUGGAACCCUAUGGGUCCAUAUGGGGUCUCUGUGGGUCUUUAUACAUCUCUAUGGGGUCCCUAUGGGGUCCCUAUGGGGUCUGUAUGGGUUCCUAUGGUCCCUAUGGGUCCUUAUGGGGUCUCUAUGGGUUCCUAUGGCCCCUAUGGGGUCUGUAUGGGUUCCUAUGGUCCUUAUGGGGUCUGUAUGGGUUUCUAUGGUCCCUAUGGGGUCUGUAUGGGUUGCUAUGGGGUCUGUAUGGGUCCCUAUGGUUCCUAUGGGGUCUGUAUGGGUUCCCAUGGGUCUGUAUGGGUCCCUAUGGGGUCUGUAUGGGUUCCUAUGGGGUCUGUAUGGGUUCCUAUGGGUCCCUGUGGGUCUCCAUGGGUCCCUGUGGGUCUCCAUGGGUCCCUAUGGGGUCCUAUGAGUCCCUAUGGGUCUCUAUGGGUUCCCAUGGGUUCUGUAUGGGUUCCUAUGGUCCCUAUGGGGUCUGUAUGGGUUCCUAUUGUCCCUAUGGGGUCUCUAUGGGGUCCUAUGGUCCCUAUGGGUCCCUAUGGGUUCCUAUGGGGUCUCUAUGGGUUCCUAUGGGGUCCCUAUGGGUUCCUACGGUCCCUAUGGGGUCUCUAUGGGUCCCUAUGGGGUUCUAUGGUCUCUAUGGGUCCCUACGGGGUCCUAUGAGUCCCUAUGGGUCUCUAUGGGGUCUGUAUGGGUUCCUAUGGUUCCUAUGGGGUCUGUAUGGGUCCCUAUGGUUCCUAUGGGGUCUGUAUGGGUUUCUAUGGUCCUUAUGGAUCCCUAUGGGUCCCUAUGGCGUCUCUAUGGGUCCCUAUGGCGUCUCUAUGGGUCCCUAUGGGGUCCUAUGAGUCCCUAUGGGUCUCUAUGGGUCCCUAUGGGGUCUGUAUGGGUUCCUAUGGUCCCUAUGGGGUCUCUAUGGGUUCCUAUGGUCCCUAUGGGGUCUCUAUGGAUCCCUAUGGGGUCUGUAUGGGUCCCUAUGUGCUCCCAUGGGUCCCAAUGGGGUCGGUAUGGGUCCCUACGAUCCUCUCACCGCGCUGCGCUCCAGGAACCUGGCCCCAAAUUCCUGGAAGAGUUUCCUGCCCUCUUUGGGGUGGGGGCGGCGCAGCAGCAGCUGAGCGUGCAGCCAACAAAGCUGGGAACAGAGGGGGGGGGUCACCAAAAACACCCCAAAUUCCCCCAAAAUGGCCCAGACCCCACAACGGCCCCAAAUCGCCCCCUAAACGGCCCCAAAUGGCCCCAAAACGGCCCCAAAUGGCCCUAAAAUGACCACAAUAGACACCAAACAGACCCAAAAUUGUCCCCAAAGACCCCAAAUGACCCCAAUUGGCCCCAAUUGUCCCCAAUUGGCCCCAAAUCGCCCUAAUAUGACCCCAAUAGACACCAAACAGACCCAAAAUUGUCCCCAAUUGUCCCCAACUGGCCCAAAUUGGCCCCAAAUCACCCUAAAAUGACCCCAUAGACCCCAAACAGACCCAAAAUUGUCCCCAAAGACCCCAAAUGACCCAAAUUGGCCCCAACUGGCCCCAAAACGGCCCCAAAUCGCCCUAAAAUGACCCCAAUAGACCCCAAACAGACCCAAAAUUGUCCCAAAUUGGCCCCAAAUGGCCCCAAAUGGCCCUAAAAUGACCCCAAACAGACCCCAAACAGACCCAAAAUUGUCCCAAAUUGGCCCUAAAUUGGCCCCAAAUGGCCCUAAAAUGACCCCAAUAGACCCCAAACAGACCCAAAAUUGUCCCAAAUUGGCCCCAAAUUGGCCCCAAAUGGCCCUAAAAUGACCCCAAAGACCCCAAACAGACCCAAAAUUGUCCCCAAUUGGCCCCAAUUGUCCCCAAACUGCCCCAAAACGGC
ensembl:lncRNA